AAGCCCUACCUGAACCAAACUUGCAUGGAUUAUGCAUGUAGGGAUGGAUACAACCAGACUUGUUUCGGAUGAUGGAUCUGACCUAUAUUUUCAUUCCCAAGUAACUGUAUGCCCUACCUGAACCAAACUUGCAUGGAUGGACAGUACCAGACUUGCUUCAGAUGCUUGAUCUGACCUAUAUUUUCCAUACAAGCAAUUCAGCUGUAUCACUAUUCAAGAUAUUCUGAUCAAAUUUUAUACACAUAUAAUUUUUCAUGUUGCUUAACUGAUAUAUCCUCGGCGGGGCAUUCAUGUCUAUGGACAUAUUUCUAGUUUAACUGGAAAAAUUAUGUUAUCAAUUUCUUACCCUUUCAGGCUGAGAAUAAAGAUUGAUGUGGCAUUGUUUUAUCUGAUGAAGUGUCUGAGAAACUAAGAUUUUUUGGCCUAAAGAUUGUUCCAAGAAUGUAAUAAAGCAGCAUCAUUUUGGUUGUACCGGUUAGCUCCCAAGUGCUGAUGACACAGACAGAGGGUUCUAAGUACUCUACAUAACUAAAGAAAAUCUCUGUUCUACAAAUUGUGAUGGAUAUCCGUGUAGAUGAAGAAUACAUCCCAUAUGUACAGAUUGUUCCAGGAAUGGUAUAAAGCAGCAUCAUUUUGGUUGUACUGGUUAUCUCCCAGAUCCUAAUGACACAGGCACAGGGUUCCGUGCACUCUACAUAACCAAAGUCUCUGUGGUAUAUAUAUCUUUAUUACAUUUGUUAUUGGUUCAUUUAUAAUCUAAAAGUUUGUGAACGUUUCUGAUCACCAUCAUUGUCCGGCCUCUGUCUGUUAGUUUGUCCGUAAACUUUUAACAUACAGUUGUAUAGAUUUUUAUUUAUUUAUGUUUUGGAGAACGUUCAACUUCUGGGCCAAUUUUACCAAAGUCUUUGUAAAGAAUCUUUGGUAGUGAUGAAUUUAUUAUAAUUUGUUUGAGGGUCAAGUCCAAAUUCUAGAGGAGAUAAUUAAAAAGAAGGUAAACAUA